rnacentral:rRNA from 1 species
CCUACGGGAGGCAGCAGUGGGGAAUUUUGGACAAUGGGGGCAACCCUGAUCCAGCCAUGCCGCGUGAGUGAAGAAGGCCUUCGGGUUGUAAAGCUCUUUCGGGAACCGUGCGGUACCGUAAGAAGAAGCACCGGCUAACUACGUGCCAGCAGCCGCGGUAAUACGUAGGGUGCGAGCGUUAAUCGGAAUUACUGGGCGUAAAGCGUGCGCAGGCGGUUCGCCAAGUCAGGUGUGAAAUCCCCGGGCUUAACCUGGGAAUUGCGCUUGAAACUAGCGGGCUUGAGUGUGGCAGAGGGGGGUGGAAUUCCACGUGUAGCAGUGAAAUGCGUAGAGAUGUGGAGGAACACCGAUGGCGAAGGCAGCCCCCUGGGUCAAACUGACGCUCAUGCACGAAAGCGUGGGGAGCAAACAGGAUUAGAUACCCUUGUAGUC